GUAGGGGGCGUAGCGUUUGUCCCGGAAUCAUUGGGCGUAAAGCGCGUGUAGGCGGUCCGGUAAGUCCGCUGUGAAAGUCGGGGGCUCAACCCUCGGAUGCCGGUGGAUACUGUCGGGCUUGAGUACGGAAGAGGCGAGUGGAAUUCCUGGUGUAGCGGUGAAAUGCGCAGAUAUCAGGAGGAACACCAAUUGCGAAGGCAGCUCGCUGGGACGUAACUGACGCUGAGACGCGAAAGCGUGGGGAGCAAACAGG
rnacentral:rRNA from 1 species